GCGAGCGCGGGGUUCGGCCGCUCCAAGUUCGGCGGUGCCGUGGCUCGGAGGCGCUUUGGAGGCGUUGAUGGCAUCGCUGGGUUCGGUUUGCAGCGGGUGUCCGCUAAGGGAUACGGUGUUCUUCCUGAGUGGGCACGGUUCUCGGUGCCGGGUACUGAGAAAAUACGUCUCCGUUAGAGUACCGCGGAAAGGUUCUCAGUGCGCUCUCUAUCAAGUGCUAUGAGUCUUGAUAAAUUGGAGAAGAGCCCAAGAGAAAUUUUUCAUCCCUUGAUAUAAAAGGAUUUAUUGGUUCUGGAAGAACAAGAGGGAAGUACAAGCCUAACUACUUCUAGCUCACAGGCCCGUCCAGUGAACCCAGGGACCGGUGAAUUUUAACUUUGGAGUCCCCUAUGCUAAGGAUGCUCAGCUUACAGGUGAUGAAAUGUUCAGUAAUGUAUUUGCUGCAGCUCUGCUUACCCAAGCUUUGGGUUCCUUCUGUCCCACUGGGAGUUGCCCAGUUUGGUUGCAUCUGGUGAAAUUCACCCUGAGACCUUACAGAACUAGCUCCAACUACGUGAGAGCCAUUUGCAGUUCUCUCCAGACACCUGGAGAAUGGGUGACGUUUCUGAGGAUCCGGCGAGCGUGCUUCUAUCAAAACUCAGUCUGUGAAAUUCCUGGGGAAAACCCUUCUGUGUCCUGAAGGGUUCAAACUCUGGUGAGGAUCCAGUUAUCAGGGGCUCACCUGGAUGGUUCCAGCUCCCAAAGUUAACACUUCUACUCUUGCCCUGUAGUUUACAUCUAUUGUAUUUUUGUUAUUUUGCAACAUUUUUUGUCUUUGCAAAAUAUUGUGCAUUUCACUCUUUGGAACCUCUCAGAUGGUUCUUUGGUGCAGCACCACCCCAGGGGACACUUGGCUGCUGUCCUGAAGGGUUUGGUCGCUAGAAUUGUGAAUCCUGGAGAGUUUGUGAGUCUUCUGUCCCCAGGGAGGGAAAGACUCUCGUAUCCUUGUCGUCGGGCUCGGUGCUGUCCAAGAAGAUACAGAGACUAAAAAAAUCAUAAGAAGCAAAAUAUGACUGCAGGGAAAAGAAGCUGGAGAGAACAGAAGACUCAUCACGGCGGGACAGCGUGAGGACUGAAAGUGUAAGAAGAUGUGGAGGGAAACAGAGAAUCUGACAGGAGCAGCGAACGCACGAGUGCAGGAAUUUUGCUUUUUGCUUGGAUGUAAACUCAGGAGUUGAGAGGAAUUUGGGAGUGAGAAGGGACAUUUCAGAAGGAGAAGAAGAAAAAGAGGUUGUUGUUGUUGUUACAGUCCUGGCAAAAUCUUUUGUUCUAGCUAAUAAAAGAAGUUAGUUUAAAAAACAAAAAGGAAAAAAUGUAGUGUUUUUUUUUUCCUUCACUAUGAUAUUCAUUGGUGGUAUAUGGUGUGUUGUUUUAUUUCUUGGUAUUAUUAACUCUGUGUAAAUUGUUUUUUGAGUGAAGCUGACUUUCUGGAUGGGUUGGUUUGUAUUUGAGGCAGGAUUAAUUUCAGUAGGGUUCUUUCAUAGAUUUCUGAUGGGUAUUACUGGGAUUUUGGUUUUGUUUACUGUAUGUAUAAACCUAGAGCUUUGGUAGGGCCAGCUGGGCUGCUGGAGUUUUGGGUGUGAAUUUAUUAGAUGGCUUUUGUUAGAUGCAGUUUUUAAUUUUUGAAAUGUUUUUCAAUGUAGUGGUUUUAAGGUGGUUUUUAAGAAUUCAUUGUAUUGCUUUAUCUUGUUUGUAGUUGGUGUAUGAUAAGGGAUGUGGUGUGACUUUUUG